UGGGGAAUUUUGCACAAUGGGGGAAACCCUGAUGCAGCGACGCCGCGUGAUUUAGAAGGCCUUCGGGUUGUAAAAAUCUUUUUUACGGGAUGAAAAUGACAGUACCGUAAGAAUAAGGUCCGGCUAAAUACGUGCCAGCAGCCGCGGUAAUACGUAUGGACCGAGCGUUGUCCGGAAUCAUUGGGCGUAAAGGGUACGUAGGUGGCCUAGUAAGUUAGAAGUGAAAUAAUAUAGCUCAACUAUAUAAAGCUUUUAAAACUGCUAGGCUUGAGAGAUGGAAGGGAAAGUGGAAUUCCUAGUGUAGCGGUGAAAUGCGCAGAUAUUAGGAAGAAUACCGGUGGCGAAGGCGACUUUCUGGUCAUCAUCUGACGCUGAGGUACGAAAGCGUGGGUAGCAAACAGG
rnacentral:rRNA from 1 species